rnacentral:misc_RNA from 1 species
UGGCUCUGGCAUCGAUGAAGAACGCAGCGAAAUGCGAUAAGUAAUGUGAAUUGCAGAAUUCAGUGAACCAUCGAAUCUUUGAACGCACAUUGCGCCCGCCAGUACUCUGGCGGGCAUGCCUGUUCGAGCGUCAUUUCAACCCUCAAGCCCCCCGGGCUUGGUGUUGGGGAUCGGCACAAGGCGCUGGCACCUCCGGGGGCCAGCGCCCGCCGUCCCCUAAAUCCAGUGGCGGUUCGCGCCGUGGGUACCUCAGCGUAGUAGCAAAACCUCGCUCCGGGACCCCUCCUGCGGACCACGCCGUAAAACCCCCGACUUUAUUUCUGGUUGACCUCGAAUCAGGUAGGACUACCCGCUGA